UACGGAGGGAGCAAGCGUUACUCGGAAUUAUUGGGCGUAAAGGGCGCGUAGGCGAUUUGAAAAGUCUUGUGUGAAAGCCCCGAGCUUAACUCGGGAAGUGCACAAGAAACUGUUGAAUUUGAGUUCCGGAGAGGAAGGCAGAAUUCCCGGUGUAGUGGUGGAAUGCGUAGAUAUCGUUUGGAACGCCAAUGGUGAAAACAGGUUGCUGGGAGUGUGCUGACGCUGAGACACGAAAGCCAGGGGAGCAAACGGG
rnacentral:rRNA from 1 species